GGGUUGUGAGGUUAAGCGACUAAGCGUACACGGUGGAUGCCCUGGCAGUCAGAGGCGAUGAAGGACGUGCUAAUCUGCGAUAAGCGUCGGUAAGGUGAUAUGAACCGUUAUAACCGGCGAUUUCCGAAUGGGGAAACCCAGUGUGAUUCGUCACACUAUCAUUAACUGAAUCCAUAGGUUAAUGAGGCGAACCGGGGGAACUGAAACAUCUAAGUACCCCGAGGAAAAGAAAUCAACCGAGAUUCCCCCAGUAGCGGCGAGCGAACGGGGAGCAGCCCAGAGCCUGAAUCAGUGUGUGUGUUAGUGGAAGCGUCUGGAAAGGCGCGCGAUACAGGGUGACAGCCCCGUACACAAAAAUGCACAUACUGUGAGCUCGAUGAGUAGGGCGGGACACGUGGUAUCCUGUCUGAAUAUGGGGGACCAUCCUCCAAGGCUAAAUACUCCUGACUGACCGAUAGUGAACCAGUACCGUGAGGGAAAGGCGAAAAGAACCCCGGCGAGGGGAGUGAAAAAGAACCUGAAACCGUGUACGUACAAGCAGUGGGAGCACGCUUAGGCGUGUGACUGCGUACCUUUUGUAUAAUGGGUCAGCGACUUAUAUUCUGUAGCAAGGUUAACCGAAUAGGGGAGCCGAAGGGAAACCGAGUCUUAACUGGGCGUUAAGUUGCAGGGUAUAGACCCGAAACCCGGUGAUCUAGCCAUGGGCAGGUUGAAGGUUGGGUAACACUAACUGGAGGACCGAACCGACUAAUGUUGAAAAAUUAGCGGAUGACUUGUGGCUGGGGGUGAAAGGCCAAUCAAACCGGGAGAUAGCUGGUUCUCCCCGAAAGCUAUUUAGGUAGCGCCUCGUGAAUUCAUCUCCGGGGGUAGAGCACUGUUUCGGCAAGGGGGUCAUCCCGACUUACCAACCCGAUGCAAACUGCGAAUACCGGAGAAUGUUAUCACGGGAGACACACGGCGGGUGCUAACGUCCGUCGUGAAGAGGGAAACAACCCAGACCGCCAGCUAAGGUCCCAAAGUCAUGGUUAAGUGGGAAACGAUGUGGGAAGGCCCAGACAGCCAGGAUGUUGGCUUAGAAGCAGCCAUCAUUUAAAGAAAGCGUAAUAGCUCACUGGUCGAGUCGGCCUGCGCGGAAGAUGUAACGGGGCUAAACCAUGCACCGAAGCUGCGGCAGCGACGCUUAUGCGUUGUUGGGUAGGGGAGCGUUCUGUAAGCCUGUGAAGGUGUGCUGUGAGGCAUGCUGGAGGUAUCAGAAGUGCGAAUGCUGACAUAAGUAACGAUAAAGCGGGUGAAAAGCCCGCUCGCCGGAAGACCAAGGGUUCCUGUCCAACGUUAAUCGGGGCAGGGUGAGUCGACCCCUAAGGCGAGGCCGAAAGGCGUAGUCGAUGGGAAACAGGUUAAUAUUCCUGUACUUGGUGUUACUGCGAAGGGGGGACGGAGAAGGCUAUGUUGGCCGGGCGACGGUUGUCCCGGUUUAAGCGUGUAGGCUGGUUUUCCAGGCAAAUCCGGAAAAUCAAGGCUGAGGCGUGAUGACGAGGCACUACGGUGCUGAAGCAACAAAUGCCCUGCUUCCAGGAAAAGCCUCUAAGCAUCAGGUAACAUCAAAUCGUACCCCAAACCGACACAGGUGGUCAGGUAGAGAAUACCAAGGCGCUUGAGAGAACUCGGGUGAAGGAACUAGGCAAAAUGGUGCCGUAACUUCGGGAGAAGGCACGCUGAUAUGUAGGUGAAGCGACUUGCUCGUGGAGCUGAAAUCAGUCGAAGAUACCAGCUGGCUGCAACUGUUUAUUAAAAACACAGCACUGUGCAAACACGAAAGUGGACGUAUACGGUGUGACGCCUGCCCGGUGCCGGAAGGUUAAUUGAUGGGGUCAGCGCAAGCGAAGCUCUUGAUCGAAGCCCCGGUAAACGGCGGCCGUAACUAUAACGGUCCUAAGGUAGCGAAAUUCCUUGUCGGGUAAGUUCCGACCUGCACGAAUGGCGUAAUGAUGGCCAGGCUGUCUCCACCCGAGACUCAGUGAAAUUGAACUCGCUGUGAAGAUGCAGUGUACCCGCGGCAAGACGGAAAGACCCCGUGAACCUUUACUAUAGCUUGACACUGAACAUUGAGCCUUGAUGUGUAGGAUAGGUGGGAGGCUUAGAAGUGUGGACGCCAGUCUGCAUGGAGCCGACCUUGAAAUACCACCCUUUAAUGUUUGAUGUUCUAACGUUGACCCGUAAUCCGGGUUGCGGACAGUGUCUGGUGGGUAGUUUGACUGGGGCGGUCUCCUCCUAAAGAGUAACGGAGGAGCACGAAGGUUGGCUAAUCCUGGUCGGACAUCAGGAGGUUAGUGCAAUGGCAUAAGCCAGCUUGACUGCGAGCGUGACGGCGCGAGCAGGUGCGAAAGCAGGUCAUAGUGAUCCGGUGGUUCUGAAUGGAAGGGCCAUCGCUCAACGGAUAAAAGGUACUCCGGGGAUAACAGGCUGAUACCGCCCAAGAGUUCAUAUCGACGGCGGUGUUUGGCACCUCGAUGUCGGCUCAUCACAUCCUGGGGCUGAAGUAGGUCCCAAGGGUAUGGCUGUUCGCCAUUUAAAGUGGUACGCGAGCUGGGUUUAGAACGUCGUGAGACAGUUCGGUCCCUAUCUGCCGUGGGCGCUGGAGAACUGAGGGGGCUGCUCCUAGUACGAGAGGACCGGAGUGGACGCAUCACUGGUGUUCGGGUUGUCAUGCCAAUGGCACUGCCCGGUAGCUAAAUGCGGAAGAGAUAAGUGCUGAAAGCAUCUAAGCACGAAACUUGCCCCGAGAUGAGUUCUCCCUGACCCUUUAAGGGUCCUGAAGGAACGUUGAAGACGACGACGUUGAUAGGCCGGGUGUGUAAGCGCAGCGAUGCGUUGAGCUAACCGGUACUAAUGAACCGUGAGGCUUAACCUUACAACGCCGAAGCUGUU
rnacentral:rRNA from 1 species